AUACGGAGGGUGCAAGCGUUGUUCGGAAUUACUGGGCGUAAAGCGCGUGUAGGCGGCUUGGCAAGUCGGAUGUGAAAUCCCGGGGCUCAACCCCGGAACUGCAUCCGAAACUGCCUAGCUAGAGUCCCGGAGAGGAAGGCAGAAUUCCCGGUGUAGGGGUGAAAUCCGUAGAUAUCGGGAGGAAUACCAGUGGCGAAGGCGGCCUUCCGGACGGUGACUGACGCUGAGACGCGAAAGCGUGGGGAGCAAACAGGAUUAGAAACCCCGGUAGUCC
rnacentral:rRNA from 1 species